AACUGAUUCCCUUUUGGGAUAUUUGGUAAUAUGUGGAUUUCUGAGAUCAAUUCCCUUUUCCCCAAAUGGUCUGAAUUUAGAUUUUGAAUAUGUAUUUAAAAAAAAAAAAAAAAAAAAAAAACAAUUCUUACUACUAUUUAUACAUUUUAAAAAUAUUUAAUUUACUCUUACAUUUUACACAUUAUAGCUUGAGUGUGGGGAAGCACUUUGUUUACCAGUUUGUUUGUGUAUAUUCUUAUUUUUUUUUUUGAAGCCCCAUACACACUUAUUUCUUAUAUAACUGAUUAAUUUUACUUCUGCCUAAAUUAUUUAUUCACCUGGAGAUAUUGAAAACAACUUUAUAAAAUAAAGCCCUUGUCAAAAUUAUCAGUGGGAACAAAGAAAUAACUGCCCUAACUAGCUUGGAACGGGAAUUAAAUAUAAAGAUUUCAUAUCCUAAACGGUAUAACUCAUUAAAUAUGAAAAGGUGACACUGUUCAACCUAAUUGGAAUAGUUCUAGGACUGAUGUAAGGAAAGGGCUCCCCCCAGCAGUAGAUCUACAUUUAAAGUGGUCUCCCUAAAUAAAAAGCAGAAAAGGUCUGUUAAUCACUAUUUUGAGGCUUAAAAAUUGAUUGCUAGGAAUUUAAGUGCUAAAACUAUUCUAUCAUGGGCUUCAAUAAUUACUCCAACUCCAUAAGGAAGCUAUUCAUUAUAUCCUCACUGCCAACGAGAAUAUCAUUUGUGGAAAUUUGAUAAACUGCCUCUUAUGGGACCACGGAGGAUUUAAUAUGCUCCAACUAAAAUAUAGUAUAAAAUUGGCAACUUCACCAAUCUUGCCAUUUAAGGCCCCAUUGUAAUUUGUAUAUGAGUCUUCUGAAGUUUUACACAAGCGAUUAUCUUAAGCAAUGAUCUGUUGUUUGUUUUCCAAUUUUUAUUAAAAAAUACUCAACAUUACAUUUAAGUUCAACAGUAUGUAACCUGCAACGACUGAAGCUACAGACCCCUUACAAAGUAUAGCCUCUAUAUCAGGAAAAUAAAGACAAAUUAAAGAUGGUGCCCCAGCAGUAAUUCAACUUCUAUUUCACAAUUUAAAAUUAAGUUCAUAGAAAGGCUCCCGUUCUCACUUUUUUUUUUUUUUUUUUGAAUGAACAAGAAAGCAAACACAAAAUUAAAAUAAACACUAGCAUGGAUAUUCACUAAAAUGUUUGUAAGGAAUUAAUCUUCGUUGCAAAGUUUGGGCAAACUAGGUGAUCUGAAAUAUUUGCCAACUACCAUUAGAACUUUAACAUGCUACAAUUUGUGAAUGACCAAAUUAAAAACAAGACUUAACCAAUGCAGAUUUUUUCAGUUUUUAUUUUAAAGCUGUCACUUUGCAGGUUUUGCUUUCUAUUUUGUGUCCCUAUUCAUUUUUUAAAAUCCACUCUAGUUUUGCUUUCAUACAUACAAUAAAGUAGGGACAAAAUGUAAUUUGUGAAACUUCUAUUUUAGAUGCCCACAUUCCAAACAAAGUAUCUCACAGAAGGGCAAAAAACUAUCGCUGAUAAAGUGGCAGAAGCUGGAUAUUGAGAGGGAGAGAAAGUAGGGAAGAGAUAAAAGUCGCAUGGCUGGUAGAUUAAUUGCAAAGAUUAAAAGAAAUCUGGGAGAAUUCCCUUCACAUACUGAUAGCAUUUUACAGAUAUCUUUGUAACUAUUAAAGGGAAACUCCAGUGCCAGUAAAACAAUCUGUUUUCCUGGCACUGCAGGUUCCCUCUCCCUCCCACCCCACACCCGCUGAAGGGGUAAAAACCCACUUACCUGAGGCAGCGGCGAUGUCCCUUGUCGCUGCUUCCUCAUCCGCUCCUUCUGACUGCGUCGGCCGGUGGGCAAGACUGAGACUGAGACUGAUCCCGCCCACCGGCCGGGGAGACCUAAUGCGCAUGCACAGCAAUACCGCACAAGCGCAUUAGCACUCCCUAUAAGAAAACAUUAAAAAUGCAUUUCAAUGCUUUCCUAUAGGGAAAUGAGCGACGCUGUGCUAGGAACCAGGAAGUGCCCUCUAGUCGCGGUCUAGUAGACAGCCACUAGAGGUGGAGUUAACCCUGCAAGGUAAUUAUUGCAGGGUUAAGAGUAGUGGGAGAUGGCACCCAGACAACUCCAAUGGGCAGAAGUGGUCUGGGUGCCUGGAGUGUCCCUUUAAGAUAGUAUGGAAGAUAAAAGCGGCUACUUUAUAGCAUUGAAUAAAUAGUUUACACUAUCCAAAAUGCUAUAACCUUAGUCAUUUUCUUUUUAAGCAUCUUUUAACCUUAACCACUUGUGUUGCUUAGCAGUACUAUCCUUUAUAUAGGAUCAAUUUGGAAGCACUUUACAAUCAUUAAAUUUAGAUAUUUAGAAGUGAAGGUGCUGCUCAAAUGAGCUGACAAUCUCAGGAUUAAGGUAGGUGGAGUAGACUACAAACGUAUAGCAUCCAUUCGAAUGCUAACUGAUUAAGAUGCCAGUACGUCUGAUACAAGAGAUACAUCUUUUAUCUGUCGUCUUUUCUGUCAAUAAACUAAGAUAUUCUCACUAAUAUUUGUAAAGCCCUGCAAAAUGUUGCCACUUUAAAAGCUGUAAAUUUUUAUGAAACUUUAACAUACAUUGAACAGCACCUACAACUUGUGUCAUGAGAUGCUAGCUUUUUUGUUUUUCAGAUGUGUAUUGGAUUUAGUUAAUGAAAUCACAAUCCAGUACAUUCCAAGUACACCGUGCAUGGAGGAAAAACACUCCUAGUCUCAUUCUCUACCCCAACAGGUACAAAAGGUGCAGUUUAUAGCAAACAUUCUGGAAUGGAUAGCCCUUAUCUUGACUCCGAGCUAACACAUUGACAAAUCUUUAACAGAGGCUCGCUGCCUAGGUGUUCUUUGACUCUGACCUCUCCUUCAAGCCUCAUGUUCAGUCUAUCGCCAAAUCCGGUCAUUUCCAUCUCAAAAACAUUGCGCGCAUCCGCCCCUACUUAACACCAGAUGCGACUAAGGUGUUGGUACAUUCCACUGUCCUCUCGCCUUGACUGUAAUCCGCUUCUCAGUGGUCUUACGUGCUCCCAACUUGCGCCGUUACAGUCCAUAAUGAAUGUGGCAGCGAGGCUCAUCUUCCGUCCGCCCGCACCUCCCAUGACUCACCCUUCUGUCAAGUCCCUACAUUGGCUUCCUAUAAAAUAGAGCUCAAUUUUAAAUUCUGGUUCUUGCUUUCUACUGUCAGUCUAAUACUAUCCUUACCUUUUUGUGUCAUUUUACCCCACUCCCUCUAGCAUGUAAGCUCAUUGAGCAGGGCCCUCAACCCCUCUGUUCGUGUGUCCAACUUGUCUGGUUACAACUACAUUUCUGUUCGUCCACCCAUUGUAAAGCGGAAUUUGAUGGUACUAUAGAAAUAAUAUAAAUACUAGACUUGUGCACAAAUGUGUUUCAUCUGGUACACAUGAAUCGAAUGCCUUUUACUCUGUGUCCAAGCAAAUUGCUUUGCCUGUAAUUUACCUGUGGGGUCUUUUCAACGAAAGACUAAGAAAAAUGCUAGACUGAGUGAUUCUAAAAAGUACACCGUAAACAGUUUAGCUUAAAAAAACCAAAACAAAAACCUUAAUAAACUUGGGACCAAC